GUGUAGGUUUUAAAAUAAAUAAUAAUAAACACAAUGUUGUUGUCAAUAGCUUAUCAGACAUCCUGAAGUUCCUACAAGAAAGAGUUGACAACACUAAAACCUUUAACAUUAAUGUGACAAGGGACGACCUUUACCAGAGAGGUCUGAAACAGCGGGCCAGACAGAAGCAGGCUUCCCACAAAAACCAGCUAAUUGUUUCCUUUAUUGGAGAACACGACAUUGAUGAAGGAGCACUACGCCGAGAGUUCCUAACUGGAUCUGUGGGGAGAUCAUUGCCACCAGCUUGGUUCAAGCAGGACCAGCACCGAAUUUCUUUUCUACUUGGUCUUACCAUUUCUUGCGUCAUGGACAAAUAACAAAUGAAGAUGUGCCAGAGGUGACUGAUACGGCAAUCCAGAACCUGAUUCAGGAGGUAAAUUAAACAGAAUAAUUUAUUUUCUGUAAAUUGUACUAACAAGUGUUUCUGAUUGAAGGUCGAACGUGCCGAAGAAGACGCACUGACAGACCUUUCUGAUGCCAUUGUAGCAUGUGGCUACACUGGUCAAUUCACAGCAAUUGCAAAAAGGCCAUCAUUGAGGCCAUCAGUUUGCAUUCGGUGAUGAGACUCAUACCGAUGCUAAGUCAGCUUAGAGAAGGACUGGCCAUCUAGGGUUUGGAUGAGCUGUUGCCACAACACCACCAGGCACUUCAGCCCCUCUUUCUUCCUGGGAACCUUAAACAGGUGGAUGCAGACUUCGUUGUGGAGGCACUGGCUCCUCAGUACAGUGACAAUGGAUCAGUAAGACACAAAGGAAGUGGACAUGAUCAACUUUUUGCAGGACCUCUUGCAAAACCUGGAAGAAGGAGGAACAGAUGACCAAGAUGGGAGCCCAUCAGAUGGCUGUGGAGCAAAGCAGUUGUCAGUGCAAGGAUUUUUUUCAGUGGGUUUCAGGCCAGGCACAUGUGCCACUAACAGACACAGAAAGAGAAUU